rnacentral:misc_RNA from 1 species
CAACCAUCAAGCCCUGCUUGCGUUGGGGAACUGCGGCUGCCCGCAGGCCCAUCUGACCACCGGCGGGCUCGCCCACACACCGAGCGCAGUAGCACAUCUCGCUCCGGCCUGUGAGGGCGGGUCCUCGCCGUCAAAACAAACAAACCCUGAAA